GCACGUUUGAGCUUCUGCAAGAACCAAUGAGGUUCAUUCUCGUGUUACGCAGUACGUUUGAGCUUCAGCAAGAACCAAUGAGGUUCAUUCUCGUGUUACGCAGCACGUUUGAGCUUCAGCAAGAACCAAUGAGGUUCAUUCUCGUGUUACGCAGUACGUUUGAGCUUCAGCAAGAACCAAUGAGGUUCAUUCUCGUGUUACGCAGUACGUUUGAGCUUCAGCAAGAACCAAUGAGGUUCAUUCUCGUGUUACGCAGCACGUUUGAGCUUCAGCAAGAACCAAUGAGGUUCAUUCUUCAGCAAGAGGUUUGUUCUCGUGUCAAGCAGGUUCUGUGUGUUCGCUGAUCAAUGUUUAUAUGUGAAUAAGAGACUAACUUUAAUCUGU